rnacentral:rRNA from 1 species
GAUGAACGCUGGCGGCGUGCUUAACACAUUCAAGUCGAACGAUUAAGCCCAGCUUGCUGGGUGGCUUAGUGGCGAACGGGUGAGUAACACGUGAGUAACCUGCCCUUAACUCUUUGAUAAGCCUUGGAAACUGGGUCUAAUCCCGGAUAGUAGCUUCCACCUCAUGGUGGUUGUUGGAAAUCUUUAUCGGUUUUGGAUGGACUGGCGGCCUAUCCGCUUGUUGGUUGGGUAAUGGCUCACCACGGCGACGACGGGUAGCCGGCCUGAGAGGGUGACCGGCCAAACGGGGACUGAGACACGGACCAGACUCCAACGGGAGGCAGCAGUGGGGAAUAUUGAACAAUGGGCGAAAGCGUGAUGAAGAGACGCCGCGGGAGGGAAGACGGCCUGCGGGUUGUAAAAAUCAGUCAGUAGGGAAGAAGCGAAAGUGACGGUACCUGAAGAAGAAGCACCGGCUAACUACGUG